rnacentral:lncRNA from 1 species
AAAGGUAAAGGGGAAGACAGUAGCAUUAAUCGCACCGUUGGAAAGAAUCGAGUCGAGUGACGAAACACCUUCUCAAUUAUAUUUAACAACCAGCUCAGACCAGAGAUAUGGCAGCGACGUGGGCAGUAGUGUCUUAACCAAUGAUGGCGACGACCUCGAGGAGUCGAUAGUCUAAUCUAUAUAAUUUGAGGGUGGUGCAUGGACCGCAAAAUUGUAUUUUACAUGCCGUCUAAGAUUUAAAUCAUCGAAUUUGACAAGAUAUUGAUUAAGUUUAUACAUGGAAGGGGGAGAGAAAGGCAGUGGAUGAUUUUGAGUAGAUGCGACAGAACUUACACUAUGUAGACACAAAGCGAAAAUUAUCAUAUUCAUAAUCGUCGUAUCAUGGAGAAUCUUUUGACCAGCAACAGUAUGGUGAUGGUCAUGCUUCACCGAGUAAUUGUACGUUGUUCGAUCUUAUGAUACAAAACAACAAAUCAAUAGCAAAAGUAGAAGUUUUGACAUUCUUCAUGCUCCGCACUAAUACAUGUCAUAAUCGUACUUGCCUCUAGAGCCACCUCACACACGUGUGAUUCAUGACGAUCAGACUACGACCAUCACUAUAUUGAUGCACCAAUGGCAUAUGGUGUAUUAUUAUAUUAUGUCGUGAGAUCAAUUUUAGGAUUGGGUCUAACAAAUAUAUCAAAUUGAUAUACAGAUACAUAGGAUCGAGGACCUUGGUCCAUUUCCUAUGGAGUCUCAUUUUUACUUGCAUCUCUCUCUCAUUCUCACAUUUUCAUUCUCCUACACUCAACAAGGCUACGAUUUAUGGGUUGGAUUAAAUUUGGGAUGAUUAAGAAGAAGAUCCCUCUCGGUUAGAAUGUGGCGAAAAGCGUCGGACAACAUCGAGUCAAAUUGCUUUAGAAAUUAGAGACACCCAACUGUCACAAUCGUUCCCCCGACAUGCAAUGACAAAGGUAAAGGGGAAAGCAGUAGCAUCAAUCGCACCGUUGGAAAGAAUCGAGUCGAGUGACGAAACACCUUCUCAAUUAUAUUUAACAACCAGCUCAGACCAGAGAUAUGGCAACGACGUGGGCAAUAGUGUCUUAACCAAUGAUGGCGACGACCUCGGGGAGUCGAUAGUCUAAUCUAUAUAAUUUGAGGGUGGUGCAUGGAUCGCAAAACCGUAUUUUACAUGUCGUCUAAGAUUUAAAUCAUCGAAUUUGACAAGAUAUUGAUUAAGUUUAUACAUGGAAGGGGGAGAGAAAGACAGUGGAUGAUUUUGAGCAGAUGCGACAGAACUUACACUAUGCAGACACAAAGCGAAAAUUAUCAUAUUCAUAAUCGUCGUAUCAUGGAGAAUCGUUUGACCAGCAACAGUAUGGUGAUGGUCAUGCUUCACCGAGCAAUUGUACGUUGUUCGAUCUUAUGAUACAAAACAACAAAUCAAUAGCAAAAGUAGAAGUUUUGACAUUCUUCAUGCUCCGCACUAAUACAUGUCAUAAUCGUACUUGCCUCUGGAGCCACCUCACACACGUGUGAUUCAUGACGAUCAAACUACGACCAUCACUAUAUUGAUGCACCAAUGACAUACGGUGUAUUAGUAUAUUAUGUCGUGAGAUCAAUUUUAGGAUUGGGUCUAACAAAUAUAUCAAAUUGAUAUACAGAUACAUAGGAUCGAGGACCUUGGUCCAUUUCCUAUGGAGUCUCAUUUUUACUCGCAUCUCUCUCUCAUUCUCACAUUUUCAUUCUCCUACACUCAACAAGGCUACGAUUUAUGGAUUGGAUUAAAUUUGGGAUGAUUAAGAAGAAGAUCCCUCUCGAUUAGAAUGUGGCGAAAAGAGUCGGACAACAUCGAGUCAAAUUACUCUAGAAAUUAGAGACACCCAACUGUCACAAUCGUUCCCCCGACAUACAACGACAAAGGUAAAGGGGAAGGCAGUGGCAUCAAUCGCACCGUUGGAAAGAAUCGAGUCGAGUGACGAAACACCUUCUCAAUUAUAUUUAACAACCAGCUCAGUCCAGAGAUAUAGCAGCGACGUGGGCAGUAGUGUCUUAACCAAUGAUGGCGACGACCUCGGGGAGUCGAUAGUCUAAUCUACAUAAUUUGAGGGUGGUGCAUGGACCGCAAAACAGUAUUUUACGUGCCGUCUAAGAUUUAAAUCAUCGAAUUCGACAAGAUAUUGAUUAAGUUUAUACAUGGAAGGGGGAGAGGAAGGCAGUGGAUGAUUUUGAGCAGAUGCGACAGAACUUACACUAUGCAGACACAAAGCGAAACUUAUUAUAUUAAUAGUCGUCGUAUCAUGGAGAAUAUUUUGACCAACAACAGUAUGGUGAUGGUCAUGCUUCACCGAGCAAUUGUACGUUGUUCGAUCUUAUGAUACAAAACAACAAAUCAAUAGCAAAAGUAGAAGUUUUGACAUUCUUCAUACUCCGCACUAAUACAUGUCAUAAUCGUACUUGCCUCAGGAGCCACCUCAGACAUGUGUGAUUCAUGACGAUCAGACUACGACCAUCACUAUAUUGAUGCACCAAUGGCAUACGGUGUAUUAGUAUAUUAUGUCGUGAGAUCAAUUUUAGGAUUGGGUCUAACAAAUAUAUCAAAUUGAUAUACAAAUACAUAGGAUCGAAUACCUUGGUCCAUUUCCUGUGGAGUCUCAUUUUCUUCUCUUGUGGUAGAACUNNNNNNNNNNNNNNNNNNNNCUUUUUACAAAUUGGAUCAAGGUUUUUCUUUCUCUCAUCUACCUGUUUGCUUCUUGUUUUGCCCAUUGACUAUUAGAGGCAUAAGACAUGCAUUCGUUUCAAGUUUUUAGUUGUCUAGAAUUCUAAAUUCAUAUUGAUGUGGCAGGUGUUCAUGAGUUGAAUAGCAUCAAUUCAUAUUGUAAAUUUAUGUUUUUUAUUGAUAAUACUUCUCACAUUGAAGUAUAAAAGAUGAGAGAUCCCCAGGAAUCUCUGAGUUGAUAGGCUUUUUAUUUAUUGAUAACACUUCUGGCAUUGGAAGGACAUGAAACAAAGUGUCUAGAGUCACAACGGACAUUGAAAGGAACAUAUGCAUCGAUUAUUAUCACAAACACCGUCUCCAGUAUAAGUUCUAGUGCAUCCCUCCGCACAAUUUGAAUCGGUACAUGGGCUGUCUAAGACAACUUUGCAGAUACGAUCAGGUUGUUGUGCCUCAACCACAACAUCAGCUGUUGCAAAGGUAAAUGCAUAAGUAAGGCGACCGUUACGUUUUUAUCUAGAUAUUAUAUGCAAUCAAACAGAAGUUUUUAUAUUGUUGAUAAUAGCAUGAGGUAAUACUGUCACAUGAGUUGUUUAAGUUAGGUGACAAUUACAUUUUUAUCUAGAUAUUAUAUGUAAUCAAACAUGAGUUUUUAUAUUGUUGAUAAUAGCAUGAGGUAAUACUAUCACAUGUGUUGUUAAUCUUAUGCUGAAUUCUGUCCUCUCGUUAAGACACCCAAAUAUAUAUCGCACCUAUUUUAGAAACCAUGAAUUAGAAUCACUUUUUGUGGAGUUUGAUGUGGUAGGAGAAAGCUAGGAGAAAAUGCAAUUUUAUUUUUAUUUUUGCACCUUGAUAUGAUGAAGCCAAAUCUCAAGAGAAAAAAAAAAAGGUAGGUUGGUUGAAGCCAAAGAACCUGUACACAAAAAUUGUACCUUUUUUUUUCUUACCCAAUGCAUAUUGAUGAUGAGUUGGUUUAAUCUUUUACUAUGACUUGGUAUUGACUAUUGAGAAUUAAUUAAAAUUACCAACAUGAUUAACCAACCCAUGAAUACCUCAAAGAGUAUGGUUGUUUAGAUAUUUAUUUAGCAUGAACUAAAGACUUUUGUUUAGACCAUCAUAUCAAAUGCCCUCUUAAUAACAAUUCAAGAAAAGAAAAUCAUAUUGAAAUAAGAACUCUAUUUUGACCCCACUUUUCUCAUAAAAUAUGGUUCAAUCAAAAUCUAUAAUACCUGACUUGUCGGAAUUUUAUGAUUUUUUAUUUGUCAAAGUUGGCUUGCAAAUGAGAGCAAAUUAGAGAAGAAAAGACAUGCAUGUUCGAGCUUACUUGUAAAAAGGACGAGAAGAAGGAUAACACACGCGAUCUUCGCCCCCAUGAUAAAGAAGGUUAGAAGGUUCCUGUUCACCAAAUUAUACAUUUGAUGGUGACUACAAUGUGAAGUUUAUAUAGAGGAGCUUCAUCACCCGUAUCAAUUGAAUUCAUCCCCCUUGAUAAAUAAGAUUUGGUAGUGGAUGCCAUAUUUUCUAGCACAUUAAGGGGGUUUAUCAACACUAUACAAUUGAAACAUUUAUAAUUUUCAGGUAUCAAAUCAUGGAAACACCCAAGAAUUCCAUGGAUCAAUUAAACAAACUACAAUGUAUAUAUAUAUGUGCAUAUACCUAUGCAUGGUUCGUCAUACCGACCCAUACCAUCUGGUAUGGGCGAUAUGUACUGGAUCAAUAGGGGAUCGAUAUGCAUACUAUCUUGUAUUGUGCGGUACUAUAACAUGACCCCAUAUCGGGCGAUACGAGAUAUGUACCAGGUAGUAACGAUCGAAAUCCAAUCGUUACCAACCUAUACCGAUCGGUAGCAAUAAGAUUUCAACCAUUACAAAUCAAGGGCUGAUAUCGUUCUAUUUCAAAUGGUCAAAUUAAUCGUUUGAAUCAUAGUAAAGAGAUUUUAAACCCUUUUCUCCCCUCUUUUUUAACUCAUAUCACUCUCUCAAUCUCUUUAGCUCUCUAAAACUCAUUUUCACUUGCAUCUCUCUCUCAUUCCUAUAUUUUCACUCUCUUAAACUCAACAAGGCUACAAUUUAUGGAUUGAAUCAAAUUUAAAACGAUUAAGAGGAAGAUUCUCGGUUAGAAUGUGGUGGAAGGAGCCGGACAAAAUCAAGUCAAAUUGCUCGAGGAACUAUAGACACCAAACUAUCAUAAUCAUCUGCCCAACAUGCAAAGGCAAAGGCAAAGUGGAAGGCAGUAGCAUCAAUUGCACCGUUAUAAUCGAGUCGAGCGACGAAACACCUUCUAAAUCGCAUUUAACAACCUGCUCAGUCUAAAGAAAUGACAACGACGUGAACAGUAGUGCCUUAACCGAUGAUGGCGACGACGUUGGGGAGUCGAUGGUCCUAUCUCCAUAAUUUGAGGGUGGUGCAUGGACCGAGAAGCAGUAUUUUACAUAUGCUACCUAAGAUUCAUAUCAUGGAACUCGACGAGAUAUUGGUCAAGUUUAUAUAUGGGAAGGGAAGGUAGUGGAUGAUUUUAAGCAGAUGCAACAAAACCUACACCACGUAAAUACAAAACGAAGCUCAUUGUAUUCACAACCGUCGUAUAAUGGAGAAUCUUAUGCCCAACCACAAUACGGUGGUAGUUGGUCAUACUUCUCAAAGUAGUAGUGCAUUGAUCGAUCUUAUGAUACAGAACAACAGAUCAAUGGCAAAAGUAUAAGUUUUGGCAUUCUUCAUGCUCCGCACUAAUACAUGUCAUAAUCGUACUUGUCUUUGGAGCCACCUCAGACACGUGUGAUUCAUGACGAUCAGACUACGACUAUCACUACAUUGAUGCACCAAUGACAUACGGUGUAUCAGUAUAUUAUGUCGUGGGAUCAAUUUCAGGAUUGGGUUUGAUAAACAAAUCAAAUUGAUAUACAGUUACAUAGGAUCGAGAACCUCGAUCCACUGCUCGUGGAGUCUCAUUGUUGUUUCUUUGUGGUAGAAUCAAAUAUAUUAAUCGAUCGAUUACUUGAUUCAUUUGAAUCUUAAAGUUUAAGUUGCAAAAAUAAAAUAAAAAUUUAAAUUAUUUUUUUUGUAAAUAAUUUAGUAUUAAUAAAAGGGUGGUCCGGAACAUAUCAUAAAGCUAUUUCUCAAAACCUGAAAAAGAUAUGCCACUACUCUUUUCUAAUUUAGAUUAUUUUUAUAAAAAUUAUACUAAAAUUAUAUUUAUUUCUAACGAUGAAAAUCCUAAUCUAAUUUUUUUCUAUUUUUCAAGUAUUUUUGGAGUUAUUUUUUAUGGUUUUUGGGUGUACUGUCGUUAUGCCCUUACGUACCAUCGGUACACCUUAGUACGUACCGUAUUGAUGUUUGGUCGGUACACUAGUACAAACUGAGACUGUAAACCUUAUAUAUAUAUAUAUGUAUAUAUAUAUAUAUAUGUAUAUAUAUAUAUAUAUUUAUAUGUAUUUGUAUAUAUUUAUAUGUAUUUGUAUAUGUAUAUGUUUAUGUAUUUAUAUAUACGUAUACAUAUAUAUACACAUACAUAUACAUAUACAUAUAUAUACAUAUACAAAUACAUAUAAAUAUUUAUAAAUACAUAUAUAUAUAUAUAUAUAUACAUUUACAUAUUUAUAUUUAUAUAUGACUUCAGUACACUGAACCUAGUGGAUGCAUCUAGAAAGAUUCGUAUCAAUAGAUUUAUCUUUAUAUAUAUAUGUAUAUAUAUAUAUGUAUGUAUGUAUAUAUAUAUUUAUAUUUAUAUUUAUAUUUAUAUAUGUAUAUAUAUAUGACUUCGGUACAAUGAACCUAGUUGAUGUAUCUAGAAAGAUUCGUAUCAAUAGAUUUAUAUAUAUAUAUAUAUAUAUAUAUAUAUAUAUAUAUAUGUGUGUGUGUGUGUGUGUGUGUGUGUGUAUGUGUAUAUAUGUAUAUGUAUAUAUAUAUGUAUAUAUAUAUAUACACAUAUCACGACUUCAGUACAGUGAACCAUAGUGGAUGCAUCUUGAAAGAUUCGUAUCAAUAGAUUCAUCUUUGUCGAAAUUCGACCGUUACCGACUUGUACCAAUCAGUAAUAGUCGGAUUUUGACCGUUGCGGAUAAGGGCUUAUAUCGCCCUAUUUCAAACAAUCAAAUUGACCAUUUGAAUCAUAGGAAAGAGAUUUUAAACCCUUUCCUCCCUCAUCUUUCAACUCAUAUCACUCAAUCUUUUUAGCUUUUUAAAAGAUAUGUCACUACUCUUUCCUAAUUUAGAUUAUUUUUGCUAAAAUUAUACUAAAUUUAUAUUAUUUCUAACUUAAAAACGCUAAUCAAAUUAUUAUUAUUAUUUUUCAAGUAUUUUUGGAGCUAUUUUUGAUGGUUUUGGGUAUACUAUCAGUAUGCCCUUGUGUAACAUCGGUACGUCUUGGUACGUACCGUAUGUCGAUACACUGGUACAGACCAAGAUUGCAUAUCUUGUAUAUAUGUAUAUAUAUAUGUAUAUAUAUGUAUAUACAUAUAUAUAUAUAUGUAUAUAUAUACAUAUCCAUAUAUGUAUGUAUAUGUAUACAUAUCCAUAUAUGUAUAUAUAUAUAUAUAUAUGUAUAUAUAUAUAUAUAUAUACAUAUAUAUAUAUAUAUACAUAUAUAUAUAUAUAUAUACACGACAUCGGUACAGUGAACCUAGUGGAUGAAUGUGGAAAGAUUCGUAUCAAUAAAUUCAUCUUUGUCGAAAUCUGAUCGUUACCAACUUGUGCCGAUAAGUAAUAAUCGAGUUUUGACCGUUACGGAUCAAGGGCUGAGAUCGUCCUAUUUAAAAUGGUCAAUUUAUAGGAAAGGGAUUUUAAACCCUUUCCUCCCCCCUCUUUUAACUCAUAUCACUCUCUCAAUCUCUUCAGCUCUUUAAAACUCAUUUUCAUUCGUAUCUCUCUCUCAUUCUCACAUUUUCAUUCUCCUACAUUCAACAAGGCUACGAUUUAUGGAUUGGAUUAAAUUUGGGAUGAUUAAGAAGAAGAUCCCUCUCGGUUAGAAUGUGGCGAAAAAAGUCGGACAACAUCGAGUCAAAUUAUUGAAACUGGUAUUGAUUAGGUAUGCCGAUGUUUGUGUUCGAUGCUUGAUGCAUGGACCGCAAAACAGUAUUUUACACGUCGUCUAAGAUUUAAAUCAUGGAAUUCGAUGAGGUAUUGAUUAAGUUUAUACAUGAAAGGGGGAGAGGAAGUUAGUGGAUGAUUUUGAGCAGAUGCGACAGAACUUACACUAUGCAGAUACAAAGCGAAACUUAUCAUAUUCAUAAUCGUCGUAUCAUUGAGAAUCUUUUGGCCAACAACAUUAUGGUGAUGGUCAUGCUUCACCGAGCAAUUGUACGUUGUUCGAUCUUUUGAUACAAAACAACAAAUCAAUAGCAAAAGUAGAAGUUUUGACAUUCUUCAUACUCCCCACUAAUACAUGUCAUAAUCGUACUUGCCUCAGGAGCCACCUCAGACACGUGUGAUUCAUGGCGAUCAGACUACGACCAUCACUAUAUUGAUGCACCAUGGCAUACGGUGUAUUAGUAUAUUAUGUCGUGAGAUCAAUUUUAGGAUUGGGUCUAACAAAUAUAUCAAAUUGAUAUACAGAUACAUAGGAUCGAGGACCUUGGUCCAUUUCCUGUGGAGUCUCUUUUUCUUCUCUUGUGGUAGAACCNN